UGAUAAUUUAUAUCUGACAGGGGGGCUUUAAAGGAAUAGUAUGGUGACAUCUUAGUGGGACUUGAAAUAAAUACUCCUAUACCAACAAUACACUUCAGUGUUGAAGUCAAGAAGAGAAUGGGCUGAUGGGUGGUGGUGCUACUCUAUAGCAGAUUUAAGUCAGGACUGAGAACAGACCACGUAGGAACACUCAACAAGUCUUGGAAAGCCAUUCUGGUGUGUCUUGCGUUCUUUUUGUAAUUUUUUGCACACAGGAAUGGGCACCUUCUUAUGUUUCCCCAGGCGA